CCUCUGUCUGCCAACAUCCCUGUUACUUUUGUUGCUUUUUCCCGAAGAACUGUUGCAGGCCAUUUGUUCAUACGAAUGCACGAACACAUGACGGCGGCCAUCUUUUGUUUGUCGAACGCCCAGCAGGACCUGGUCGUCAAACACCUGGCACUCUUUUCGGACACUAUUCUGCACAAACCCCGCUGGGAUUCACCUUGCCCCAUCCAUUCAUGUAUAAAACACUGAAGAGCGUGCCGUUCGACACUUUGAUACUGCGGAAGAUACACCGACUCCUUUCAGGACACUGUGGCCAAAAAUACAUGGCUUGCU